GGGGAUAUAGCUCAGUGGAACAGCACCUGCUUGGCAAGCAUGAGGCUCUGAGUUCAAUUCCCAGUACCA
rnacentral:tRNA from 1 species